rnacentral:rRNA from 1 species
UACGUAGGGGGCAAGCGUUGUCCGGAAUUAUUGGGCGUAAAGCGCGCGCAGGCGGUCAUUUAAGUCUGGUGUUUAAGCCCGGGGCUCAACCCCGGUUCGCAUCGGAAACUGGGUGACUGGAGUGCAGGAGAGGAAAGUGGAAUUCCACGUGUAGCGGUGAAAUGCGUAGAGAUGUGGAGGAACACCAGUGGCGAAGGCGACUUUCUGGCCUGUAACUGACGCUGAGGCGCGAAAGCGUGGGGAGCAAACAGG